AAUACACAGCCAAAUGUAAUAUGGUUACAGUAAAUCUAAAAUAUCUAGCUAGCAAAGACACAUUUUUGUGAUCAGAAUUAAUAUAUUAUUCAUGUACAUGUAUCUAAAUUAUAAUGCAAUAUGCUUCAUUAUCAGAAUAAUUGCUCUCUCUUUUAGAAUAUAAAAUCUGUUGUACACAAAAAGUAUAUAAAUUCUUAUAAAAUGUACUAGACUAUAAGAAGUAUGGUUAGGCUAUAACAUACGAGUACAUUUGUACAUAUCUAUACAUGUAUUAUUAUAUUUGUAUGACAAUGUUAAAAUGCUUCAAGGUUGCUGGUUCAAACUCUUUGUGGCUUUUAAUUUCAAAAGUCUUUUUUUUUAAAUCUUGGUUAAUCCUUUUCUUAGAUGCUUAAGUCUUGAGAAAAUGGGGGGGGGGGGUUACCAUCUGUGUUGUAAAGUGACAUAUGAUGGUGUGCCUUUACACAUAAGCUUGGAUAUUUCCUUGUUGGUUUAUUUAGAUAGGAAGGAUUGACGGUUUUGCACGUUAUUUCAUCUCAUAAACUUCAUCCAUGGGUUUUGUUUAUAUCUUAAACAUAAGUAUUUUAAGUACAUUUCUUUUAUAAUAAUUCGAGGACAAACAUAUGGUAUAUCCUUAAUUAUAUAAACGGUAGAGUCCCUUUGUUAGAAACAUAGAAGGCAUAUGUAUUCUAAAGUUUGACCAGACCAAAUCGUGUGAAGAUUGUUAUAUAACAGUUAUUAUUUAUUGUCAUAAAGUAGUUCUAUCAAAAUUCAUCUUAAAUAAUAUAGUCAUAUUGAUCUUAGAAAUUUGAUUUGAAUUAUAAUUAAAUUAUAACUGUUGGUAUUUGUAAAGGCAGCGUCUAAACCUGCACUGUAUGAAAAAAAUCUGUUGUUUUAUUUUAGGAUUUUUUACACAGUGUUGUGGGCUCCGUUUUGAAUUCUUAAUGGGAUUAAAAAAUAUGUUCCAUCUGCAGUUGGAUAUUUUCUGUUUAGUCUCUUUCAUUUGAAAAAAAAAACUCAAGGCAUUACAAUAUUCUGUUAUUAAAAUGUUGAACAUUUUCACUUUUGAAGAGUAUUUAACAGAUGUAUAGAUAUUUGUUUAUUUUUUUAAUAUUAUUGUUAUGUGUACCAAUUUUUUGACCUGAUGCACAAAAAGGCAUAGGUUUGUUUGAGUUGAAUAAAAUUUAAGAAAUU
rnacentral:sRNA from 1 species